rnacentral:tRNA from 2 species
GGGCGUAUAGCUCAGCGGGAGAGCGCUGCCUUCACACGGCAGAGGUCCAUGGUUCGAAUCCAUGUACGCCCA